rnacentral:rRNA from 1 species
UUAAUGCUGAGAUGUGAAUGCGAGGAGGUUACGACCUCCGGAGUGGUUGAUGCUAUGCUUCCAAGAAAAGCUUCUAAGCUAUAGUGAUAUGAGAACCGUACCCCAAACCGACACUGGUGGUUGGGAUGAGAAUUCUAAGGCGCUUGAGAGAACUCGGGUGAAGGAACUCGGCAAAAUCGUACCGUAACUUCGGGAGAAGGUACACCUUCCUUGGUGAAUGCUUUACGCAGUAAGCUGAGGAGGGUCGCAGUGAAAAGCUGGCUGCAACUGUUUAUCAAAAACACAGGACUCUGCAAACACGAAAGUGGACGUAUAGGGUCUGACGCCUGCCCGGUGCUGGAAGGUUAAUUGAUGGGGUUAGCGUAAGCGAAGCUCUUGAUCGAAGCCCCAGUAAACGGCGGCCGUAACUAUAACGGUCCUAAGGUAGCGAAAUUCCUUGUCGGGUAAGUUCCGACCUGCACGAAUGGCGCAAUGACGGCCAGGCUGUCUCCACCCGAGACUCAGUGAAAUUGAAAUCGCCGUGAAGAUGCGGUGUACCCGCGGCAAGACGGAAAGACCCCGUGAACCUUUACUAUAGCUUUACAGUGGAUUUUGAAUCUUUUUGUGCAGGAUAGGUGGGAGGCUUUGAAGCUAAGACGCUAGUUUUAGUGGAGCCAUCCUUGAAAUACCACCCUGAAAGUUUUGGAAUUCUAACUUAGAUCCAUCAUCUGGAUUAAGGACAUUGUAUGGUAGGUAGUUUGACUGGGGCGGUCUCCUCCGAAAGAGUAACGGAGGAGUACGAAGGUACCCUCAGCCCGGUCGGAAAUCGGGCUAUUGAGUGCAAAAGCAAAAGGGUGCUUGACUGCGAGACAGACACGUCGAGCAGGUACGAAAGUAGGUUUUAGUGAUCCGGUGGUUCUGUAUGGAAAGGCCAUCGCUCAACGGAUAAAAGGUACUCCGGGGAUAACAGGCUGAUUCCGCCCAAGAGUUCAUAUCGACGGCGGAGUUUGGCACCUCGAUGUCGACUCAUCACAUCCUGGGGCUGUAGUCGGUCCCAAGGGUAUGGCUGUUCGCCAUUUAAAGUGGUACGCGAGUUGGGUUCAGAACGUCGUGAGACAGUUCGGUCCCUAUCUGCCGUGGGCGUUGGAAAUUUGAGAGGAGCUGCUUCUAGUACGAGAGGACCGAAGUGGACGUAUCUCUGGUGGUCCGGUUGUCAUACCAAUGGCAUAGCCGGGUAGCUACAUACGGACGGGAUAACCGCUGAAAGCAUCUAAGCGGGAAGCCCACCUCAAGAUUAGAUUUCCCUAGGGGUUUAACCCCUCUGAAGGUCCGUCGAAGACUACGACGUUGAUAGGUUGGGUGUGUAAGUGCAGUAAUGCAUUGAGCUUACCAAUACUAAUUGACCGUGAGGCUUGACCAUAUAAUAG